GACAAUUUGGAGCGGAUUGCUGAAUGUUAUCAGGAAGCUGGGCUCCAUGAAAUUGCCAAAUUUGUGCUAUACAGAAAUUGAACUGAAGUUGAUUUUGGCAUAUGCAUAUCUUGCUUUCAUGUACAUUUCCAAUUUUGUAAUCUGCCGUCGCCUACAAUUCCGGAAUUACAUCCGAAGAUGAUAUUUUGGAUUUAUGCUAUGACGUUGAUUAUAACAUUCAAUUGAAUUCAAGACCAAGUUUCUGUGUCUUCCCAAGUCAACUGCACAAGCAGGCCUUUGGCUCUGAGUUCUGCAAAAGUCCUAAAACCACUUAUAGAGAGCAAACUCUCUCUUUCUCCGAUGACCAACUUAAGAUUUGAAUACUCUCUUCGGUGAAUGCUCUAUCCUUGCAAGUUCUUGUGUUGAACAUAGAUGAUCUGAAUUAUUCCUCCUCUCAAAAUUGCUGUAUUCUUGGUAAAAUAAAAAAAUUUAAUUCUAAUUCAAUUGAAAUGUAUUCUUUUGAAUUUAUAUACAACAGAAGUAACAAAGAUACACCCACCAUCUCUCUCACACACAGAUAUGCAAGGCAAAAAUCACACUGUAGUAUUCUAGCCAAAAAAAUUAAACCAAUUUUCACUGUUACUGGAUUCCGCCCCUUCAGUUUCAGCAUUAGUCCAGCUUAUGAAACUAUUUUCUUGCAACUGCCGUUUCUCCCUCUCCUUAACAGCUUCUUUAGCAAUCCUCCACUUCCCCUUUUCUUACUGGGAACAAUAGCCAAAGAACCAAUCUCAGCUUCAUUAUUUGAAUAAUUAACACCAUUUGAACUUGCCACUUUCUCUGGAGGUUCUAUUGUCCAAUUCGGGCCAAAGACAGAAUAGCUAUUACCCUCUAGAAUAAUUUCCUUGGUUUUAGGAGACUUGAGAUCCUCGGUCUCAUAUUUGUCUUCAGCUAGCAUUUUAUCUAGGAGAGAUGACCGCUGGCGAGUAUUCUUCUUAGGAGUUGUCAUGGUCGCAACAACAGGAUUAGAAGGGCUAGAGACGACCUUAUCAAAAAGGGCAGCCUCCAUGGGUGAAGCCAAUGCCUUUAACUGCUUCCCCAAGUUUAAGAUAGUUUCUUGGCAUUCCGCCAGCUUUUCUGAAGCUGCUACAAUCUCCCAAUCCUACAAAUUCAAAGCAACAAAGGAAAUUCAUGAAUCACGAUAUUUUCCAGUUUAUUACUAGGAGAGAAAUGACUGAGUAAAGAUUAUGCCACCAUCUAUGAAUUACGGAAAGAUCUCAAAACAGUUCAACAAGCUAACUUAAUCUUACUCCUAUUUACUGCUGUUGCGUUGGACAGAAUAAGAGCUCUCAUAAUGUUUACGAGGUUGCCAAGCUCAACCCAAUUAUGAGAAGGAAAACCAGAAAGAGAACUAAACAUAGAAAUCUGUUAUUCUCAAUGAGAUUGCUGCAAGAACACUUAUAAUUUAUUUUUCUUUUUGAAAUUCUAGUAACUCUGGACAUGCUUUUGAUUUUCAUCUUUUCUGCUUCUAUAAUACUGGUCCAAGAAGUUACAGGGUCUCACCAUUUUGACUACAGUUAUCCGAAAAGAUGACAUCAAAAGACUCCUUAAAACUUACACACACACACACACACACACUUGAUGACCUUUCCAACUUGUUAACUUGCAAUAACUUAUCUAUCAGUGCAGAAGUCCUAAAUACUUUCAGAGAAAGCUCAUGUAAGUUAAGAUAAUUACAAGACACAAUCAUCAUUUCUGAGGGUAGGAACUUACAGUUCGAAGUUCUCUUCCAUGGUUGGCAAUACCAUCAACAGUUCCCUUUUCAACCAUGCUGCAAAUUGCACAUUUCACAACUCUGAGAGGCCCUACAAGUAAUAAUUUCUCACAUUAAAGGAAAAAAAAUGUUGUACCUUUCCAUGGGAAGCUCUUGAUCGUCAUAUGUCCCAUUCAAUUUUUGACAAGAACUUUUUUGGUUUGGCAGCUCCUUCUCUGUAUACAUGAGGUUUUCGCAAGCUUCCUUCAAUUCAUUUUUGGUCUCCAUGAGCUGUCUCUCAAGCGCUUCCUUUACCUGCUUAUGCUUUUGGUUUUGAUGACUUGUUUUUUCCUUCAUGGGCUUAGGAGAUUCUACCUCCACCUGCAAAGUCUUGCUUGUUUUAUUUGAUUCCUGAAGUUGAUUAAUCAGGGAUUCAUUCUUAAUAGCCUCUAAUUGGAGUCUCCCUUCGAAAUCAUUCUCUGCUGAUUCUUUAUUCGGCAAUUCAUCUUUCAACCUUCUAAAUUCUUUUCUAAAAUUAGGCAGAACUUCUUCAACUUGAAAAUGACUGUGCUCAUCGUUUGAAGCAGAAACAAGGGGCAAGGUGCACUUCUCUCCAUUUUGGAUGUUCAAUUUGUUGGACUCUGAGACAUGAUUAGUUGCUCCACUAUCAGCUUCACUUUCGCUUCUUGAUUCAUCCCAAUCAAAAUAACUUCUGAUUGCAUCCUUCAUGCUUGAAACAUCUUGAAGAGAAAAGCAAUGGUUCAUGAUCCAUUCCAAAGUACAUGCUAAUUGUUCCGCAAAUGUUUCAAGACCAGACUUUCCAUUUAACAAAUCACUGCAAGUCUGAACAAACUGCUUUAAAGUGGUUGAGAGUUCAGAAGCUUUCCACUGAAACACACGACCAAUAUAGCCUGUAGGAGUCUCUGUAUCCUUAAAAUGUAAUAAAUUGUCAUAGUUUCUUGACAACACCUCUGUGUUACCAUUAUCCAGGGGUGGAAUACUGAUCCCUUCAAUGAGUUCAAUGAUCUUAUGUAACGAUUUGUUUAAAUUAAGCUGCACUUUCUGGCUGCUCUUUGUUGCUGUAGUAUUGCAAGUUCCUUUGUCAGAAGAAUCUUCCUCUAGAACAUUACUAGAUCUCUCAGACAUGUCUUUUGUGACACAUAAAGCAUCAUCUUGAUUUGAGCUUUCCUUUUUGUCAGUGAGCUGAAAAUUUGGAUGACAGAAUUGUGGCAAACCAGCUUUGAUCUCAUCAAGUAUUUCAUUUGGUUUUCUCUUCAACACUUGGCUUUGCUCCAAAACAAUUUGUAUUAUGCUUUCGAACAAAAUAUGAGCUUUAUUCGGUGAUACAUUUUGAGACAGGAUUUGGUGGCUGGGCACUGAUAGGUUAGACAGAUGACAUACUGGAAUCAUUGCACCAUUAGGCUGAGUUCUCAAGGGACUCUGGGUUGCAUCAUUUUCCGCUAGACGAUUACUAGCUCCAGGUGGAUCAUCUGCUGAUACAACAGCUAACUUUUCCAUCUCAACAAAAUCAUCCAUCAAACUCAUGUCAGAAGCUCCAACUGUUCUGCUGGAUGGUGUGCCCAUUUGUUUUCCACUUCUUAAUUGCUCCAGCUCCAAUAUGAAAGCAGAAGCCGAAGAUUCAGUACAGCUGGUUUUGUCAUCACUGCCCAUAUCAGACAUGGACGCCACAGAGAAAGUGUGUAGGUAACGCUUGUUCUUCUCUGGUUCUGCUGUCUCGUGUCCUUCAAGCUGUUCCGGUGAUUCAAGUUCACUCAAUCUUUUGUUAAGGGCUUCUUUCAGAGUCCUAUUUUCUUCUUCCAUAAAACACAAUUGCUCAGUCAAGAAACUGAUCCUUUGCCUGAGGGUAUCAGAAGCCAUAUCUGCCGAAAUAUCCAUUGGACUGACUGGAGAAGGGUUGGACUUUCUUCUCCUUGUUUCAGCUUGAUUCCUGCCCAACAUUUCCACUUCAUUCUUCAUUUUUGCCAAGGCAGCAGGGCCUGGCAACCUCUUACGGACAAGGAUGCGUAGGCUUUGGCAUUCUGAUUCCAACUUUGCAAUUUUCUUCACACUUUCAAGAUGUUGCUUGUGUGCAACCUCAGCAGUUCGGCGAUUAAAUUCUCUCUCCUCAUUUCGAAUCUCAAGUUCCUUCUCAAGCACACGAACCUCAUAUUUCAGAGAAACAUUUUCUUUUUCUGUGGAUUCUAGUCUGGUCACGAGGGAACUAAAGUCUACCUCCAUCUGUGUUGUAUGUUUAUGUAAUUCUUCAAUCACUUUUUCCUUAGCCAAGAGUGCCUUGCUGAGCUGACCAUUUUCACCAUCCACUUUGGCAAGUCUUUUAUUGGCCUCCGCUAACUUUUGAUCCAGUACAAAUCUUGUACUUUCGAAUUCUUUUGAUGUUUUCAUAACAGCAUCAUGAAUUCUUUUCUCCUGCUCUUCUCGAACAAAACGUAACUGCAGCAUACAUUCCUUCAGAGCUGCAUCCAGAUGAAGUAACCUUUCUUCAGAAACUGAUCUUUGCUGUAAAGCUUUCUCAAGUUCUUGCUUCAAAGAUAAUGCUUCUGUCUCUGUCUUCUCCCAGCCUAAAUGACUCUUUUAUCAGUGAGCUAGAAAAAUUGCAGUGAAGUAUACAAUACCCAGACUUGUAUGACUGAAGAAUGUACACAGUUGGAAAUCCAAUGGCUAUUAUGAGUGAGCUCACCUGCAAUGGCCUCCUGAGCAAUUUUUGCCUGUUGCUUUGCAAAAUCAUCUUUGUUGUUGCACUCAGAGAUGGCAGAAGAAAGCUUGUGAUUCAAAAUUUUCAGAUCUAGUUCAAGUUGUGCUUUGUCACUCAAAAGUGUCUGCAUAAGCAAAAACUACGUGAUCAGCAAACAGUUUCUUCUUAAAAGAAUAGCUACAGUCCAGGCCCCCAACCAUUCUCUUCUGGAAAGGCAUUAGAUAGGAAAGGUGGGAUAGUCCGCUAAAAUGACUUCAUAGUUCAGAUGCAACACUUAUGAUCAGCAACUGAUUGAGCAUGGGUAACUAAUUGAAUAAGGCAAGUGGAUACUUGCAAAAUACUGUAGCAUCCAGGCCAAGUUCUAUCUACGAAUUUUCCGGUUUGACAUUUUCUCCUGGAUUUAAUCUACAUUAUGCAAGUUAGUUAGUCAAAUAUUAUCACAUGAUCCCCCUAAAAUCUUGCUGAACUACCUGAACUCCCAUGAGACAGAGCUUCUUCUUUUUUUUUUUUCUUUUCCAGCCUAAUAUUAUUGACGACGACUACUAUGAAUAAAGCCUUGACUUUUCAGGCAAAUCUUGAUAGAACAUAAAAGAGGAUAAGUUUUGCAAAAAGUAUAAUCGUUUCUCUCCAACUGUCCCAAGUACAAAAUUAGAUCUUUUGGUCAAACAUAUGCAUUUUGUUAAGCAUCUCGAGGUCGAAUAUAAGCAUUUUGGUAAGCUGCUUGUCCGUCUAGGAGACUAAUGGCGGAUACUUUUAUCAACCAUGAAUUAUUAGGGAUGCUAUAAAAAAUAAUUGAACAGUAAGUCUCAACCUGCUAGUCACCUCUGGCAUGUAUGUAUAAGAGGGGUAGCUACAUCCUAAGGUCAUGAAAUCAAUGUUUUUCUACGAAAAACUUAGAAACUUCAUAGGGCUCUAAAGAUCCAGCUCCCAUUGCACCCCAGAGAAAAAGGAAAUUGUGCCUGGUAUUGUUCUUAAUCAGCAAAUUGAAAGUUAGCAUACAAAGAAUUCCACCAAAGAUUACAGUCACAAGCUUCUUUAUAGGCUAAGGAGGGUUCUUUCCAUAUCUGCCAAUGCUUUGUCUAGCACUUACGUAUUUUAAUACUGCAUAAAUAUAAUGAUCAGAAUGGCUUAUGUGUUUGUUCAAUAUCAUUUGGAUAUACUGAUAUAGGUGAUAGACAAUGACAUGAGAUAGAAGCAAACUAAUCGAAGAAAUCAUGACACAUUUACCUCCUCUUCACCUCUGCUCAAAGAAAGGUUUGUCUUGUCAUCGGAAAUUAUGGUCUUCUCAGUAGAUCUUCUCUUCCAAAGCCAUGAUUUAUGAUCCAUAGUACUUGAUAAAGCGUUCAGCACUGCUAUGGCAUAAGAAAAUGUAUCAAAUUCUGCCCAAAAUGGAGCCUACAACCUCCAUGGUCCAGCAUUACACAAUCAGUUCAAGUUUCAGCUUGUUAAAUAAUUACCUUUCCCAGCAUAAUGAAAGGGUUGAGCACUUGAGUUGAGUUAACUUCCUGGACUAUAUAGACCUGGAAUAAAAAUCUCUAAUCUGCACGAGCAGUAAAACAUUAUAAAGGGGGCGACUGAGAAAAUACAAUCCACAUAUAGUCCUUAUGAACGUUAAAUUUAAAGGUCUACAGAUAUAAGCAAACGAAUAAAUAAAAUGUUGCUCCUUCUAUCAGAAUUGAAGGACAUAAAAUAAAAGGCCGUAGUCACAAAUUAUUGAAGGUCUUCUAGUAACUUUUACUCGUAUCUAAAAGAGGGUAAUUACUAGAAUUCAAUCUUAUUUAGAUGCUAGCAGCUUCAUGUUGUUCUGACCAGAAACAGUUUUCCAACAUUAUUUUCUCUCAAGUAUAAGCAUACGAACCAUUCCAGAAAGCGUAAUUUCCGCGCGGAUGCAAAAAUGUAAGAACAAUUAAAACUCAACAAAGCGCAUUUCAUUAUUUAAAGCAAGUCAGAAUAUCAAACCCCACCACCCCCCCCCCCCAAAUUAUAGCACACAUGCAUCACCCAGCGAAGCAUCACCUUCGCGAAAUAAAAUGUUGCAGAAGCAGUUUUCGUCCAGACUAAUUAAGCACACGUCAAGAAGAUAUAAACUAAACAAGUACCUGAAAACAUGACGCCAACAACAAAAAAAAAAAAAAAAACGUAGUAGUUGAAAAUAACAAGACGCAGAUCAAAUCAAGCUAAGAUUAGAAGAAAAAGGAAAGGUAAUGCCCGAGGCAAAAGACAAAAGUUCCUAUUUUUAUGAAUUUAAGGAACAAAAAAUAAGUGAGAAGCUGCCUAUUUCAUCAAGCACCAUAGAUAGACAAUGUAGAUACUCACGAUUCGUAGCAAUGCGAUCAUCUUAACCAACAACAGUUUCGGAAGAGGAAAGCAUUCGCGAAGAUUGUCAACCAAACUGAAGAAAGUAAAGUAAGUACAAGUGGUUGAGACUUGAGACUUGAGAGAAAGGGAGCAAUGGAGUAAAUAAAUGCACACUUCACUACUUUAUGUAGAGAGAGAGAGAGAGAGAGUACAAGUAAAGCUUGGCGUUUAUUGGUGGCGGUGAGAGGGACAGUCCAGUCCUCUUUAGCUUAGGAUUGAACCGGAAAUGAUGCGGGUCGGUCCGAGGUACCUGGAUGAAGGGUCCAUUUUUAUUUUAUUCUAUUUUUAGCCAACCAACAGUUGUUAUUGUCCUCGACGAAAGAGUUGUAAUUUGACCCUUCAAACGACAAAAUGCCUCCAAACUAGGGUCCAAUUUAGGUAAGUAGAGUACACAACAAAAAUAGCCCAUUUAUCCUACCCGAUUGAAUUACAUAAUAAGAAAAGAGUAGAGAAAGAAAACCAUUUAAACUGAAAAAGGGUGUAGUACAUGUAUAUUGUCUAUAUAUUGGAGAAAGGACUUGUAUUAACUAUCAAAAUAAACGACAGGUCUGCUUUAAACCAAAAAAAAAAAAAAAAAUUUGGCCCGGAGAUGAGAUUAGCCUUUCCACUUUUCAGGGGUGAAGUGGGAUAUUUGGCUACGUUGGGGCGCCAAAAACGAAAUUAACCCAAAGAAGAAGGGCUGUUUUCCGAGGGUUGCUUUGGUCUAACGGACACCGAGAGGGGGAGUCCAUGUCCUUGUCAAUUCUGACAUGAUUCAUGUGUACUGUAUCUGUCCUGAUCAAACCACCAAACUAGUAUUUGAGUAAUUCAUAAAAAGAGAAUACUUUCUCACGUGUAAUUAUUUAAUCAGAUGCUACUAGUUCUAGAGCCACCUUUUCUUUUCUUUUCUUUUUUUCUCGCAACGGGCACAUGUCUAACCUACUCCUAUUCCUAGGGGACGGGGAAGGGGAAUCUAGUCAAUCUACUCUAUGAGAAGACUCAAUUGAGUCGGGAGAACCUGACGGGGACUGAACCACCAUCAAACCAGACAAGUGCACGUACGGAUUUAGAAUAAACCUCAUAUUGAAACACCUUGAUGGGAGGCAAGGUUUGAACCCUUGAACUCUGGAGCAAUCUUUAACUACUAGUAUUCUUUGUCAAAAUUUAUUUGCCUUGCAUCAUCAAACAUUUUUUAAUUAACUUUUUAUUUCAUAUGUAUCAUAUUAAAAAAAUAUUAUUAUUUUUUAAAAAUUAUUUCAAAUAAUUUACUAUUCAAACACACUCAUUAUCCCACGCCUCAAGGAUUUGGGGCAGAGAAGAUUGUCAAAUUAGUCGUUCUUAAACAAAAUGUAACUUUAUCGAAUAAUUUGUAAUUCUACUUGAAUUACUUAUAAAAUUUCACAACAAACAUGCAAUGAUUAUAUAGAAAAUUCACAUUAACAGUAACAGAAUAUCGUACCUUUUACUAUAAAUAUGUACGAGUAGUUAGAAGGAAUUACAAUUUGUACAGAGGGAGUUAUACUGCUCUGGGACAUCAACCGACAACCGUCCUGCCAAGUCCAAGUUUUUAGUUUUGUAACAAAAAAGAGAGCAUUAAGUUGGUGAAAAUAUCCUGUGUCGGUACUGUCACGGUUACCGAAAGACUUUAGAUAAAAUAAUAGAGAAGUGGCGGUUAUGCAAAUAUCUGCAUAUGCGCGUACUUUUAUUGCAAACUGCUUUAUGUAUUCUGAGCUAAAUACUUGCAAACCAGUCUCGUUUUGAUUGGUUAAGCUGUAUAGACUCAUUCUCUUUUUUUUUUUUUAACCCAAUAAUGUAGUAAAUUGUAGUCUAAUUCUUUGAUAGAUACAUAAAGUCGUAAAUUAUAUUUUUCCAAAAAAAAAAGAGUCAUAAAUUACGUACAACUCACACAUGGAAGGUGGGCAAUACUUAUGGUUAAAACAUUGCAGCAUACACUGUCAGUGUAUUAAAUUUAACUCUUACACAUAUGUCAUGAAUCCAACGGUGAUAGUGUAUACACUGUCAGUGUAUAUAAGAUUUACUCUUAAACUAAAGCUUACAGUGUUUCUUAUUUUUUUCCUUUAAUUCAUGCUCUGUUUGGAUUGGCCAUUUUUUGAAAAACAAAUUUUUCAUAUAUAUUAUUAUUGUAAUAUACAAACAAAAACAAUCUAAAAAACACCAAAAAUAACUUUAAAACUGUCAAAAACACAAAAAAAUCUCAAAAACACAAAAAACAACUUUAAAAACACCAAAAACAUAAAAAAACAACCUCAAAAAACACCAAAAACACAAAAAUAACCUAAAAAUAACCUCAUCUAUAGUAAAAGUUUUUCACCUACAUUGCUUACAAUAAAAUAUUUUAAAAACACCCUUAAAAACAGCCAAAUCCAAACGGAGGGCAUAAUUUUUGUUAACCAAUCAAUCGUAGCUUCUCCUAAUUAAUUAAAAAAAAUAGAAUAUGGGUUUAGUCGUCUAGAAGUGCAAUGCGUACACUUGAUAAAGACAAAAAAACAAAGUGCUCACAUUACCAAAUAAAAUAAGUAAAUUGUCUAGUCGGCCACUAAAUUAUUACUUUUGUACACUUUUCACCCUUAAACUAUAUUACUCUAUAUUGUUUAUCCUAUUAAACAAGUUAAUACGUAAGUUUUUAGAGUUUUUUUACCAAUUUUUGCUAUUCGAACUAACUGAGUGGAGGGACAAACCUUCGUGGGAGAAGUAUGGGUUGAAUGGUAUAUGAGAACAGAUAUAAGUGAAGGGUUAUGGAUUCAAGACCUCCUAUUUGCUAUUUAAAGAAAUUAUAUAUAUAUAAAUAUAAAAGAAUGGAGGGACAAACCUUUAAAAAAAAGACAGAGAAAGGACAGACUAGCUAUUGCCUCUUCUUCCUCUCUCCCUCCAUUCACUUAGCUCAAAUAGCAAAAAUUAACAGAAAGGCCAAAAACUUACAUAUUAAUUUGUUUAUGGAUUUAAAUGAUGCAUGAUAUAGUUUAAGGGUUAAAAACGUAUAAAAUAAUAGUUUGGGGAUCGUUGGGCAAUUUACUCCAUAAAAAAAUGAACCUUUUUCUUUAAUUGUUUUUUUUAAAGGAUUGUUGGGGUUUCUUUAAAAGCAUUUAUUUCCCAGCACAUGUGUUACAUCAAGUAACGUUACAUCCGAUUUCAUGAUAGCUUCAACAAACUUGGAUGAGUGUGGCGAUUGAAAUGCUAGGGCCUACUGAUGUGAAAUUCCGCAAUACAUAUCCAUGGUUUGAGAGUUUUUUUUUUUUUUUUUUUUUUGAGCAAUGAUUUGAAAACUUAAAACAGGCUGUGCAGCUGAGCUUUUAAUUAUCAUCAUUAGGCCUCAAGGUUUAGGUCCAAGUAAAAGUUAUGCCAUCAAUUCGACUUUGCUGUUGGUGGUUUGACAAUUGAUUGCCUUUUCGACAGAUGCUUACAACCUUAAUCCAUUGUCAAUGUUUGUUCGCUUCGUUCGUUCUGCUUUUGGAGUCUUCCUUAACCUUUUUUAUCAAUCGCAAUGGUAGUUGACUUUGCAGACGGCCGGGGCCCCUUUUUCUUCCCUUCUUUUGGUGACUCAAAACUUUAUGUGACAAUCUUUUCGCAUGCUUCUGUUCCACUCUUCCGCGAUCCAACGUACCAUUUAGGCAUCUCUCUUUGUAGAAUUUUCUACUUAAGGAUUGUUCUACCACCUUAGUUGAUUAUCAAAUAAGAACCACCUCUGUAUAUAAGUAGUCCAGUCGAUAUUUGUCGAAUAUUGGUACAAAAAUUUAUAUACGUAAUCAAUGAUGCAGUUUAUUGAUGUUGUUCGUAUACGCUGCUCGACUUUAAAAAAAAAAAUAAAAAUUAAGAACCACAUUAUUAGCAAAAUUCAGAACCGAUGUUGUAAAGUAACUUUUCUUCUCUCGUCUGACUGAUUCCUUUCGACAUUUUGUGAGGUAAAUGAUGGAAAAAAAACGUUGCGCGGUAAUUUUCACUGUCACAGGCGAAAAGAACUCAAUGCUUAGCCAACAAAGACCUUGCUGGCAGGGCGGUUGAGUGGCUGGCUGUCUCUCUUGGAUCAACUACUGGGGUUAAAAAUUUUACUGCAAUUCCGGUGAGUUUAGCAAGGAAACAGUAGUAUCUUUUAUUUUCUUUUUUUUUUUUUAUCAGCAACGAUAAUAGUUUGUAUAAUUUAUUCUAGAUUAAUCUAAGAGGAGAAGAGGAGAAAGUCACAAAUAGUGAUCGGUGGGAUGCAAUGAUUGAACCCAUUACCCUUUCCCCGUCCAAAAAAAAAAAAAAAAGUUAGACGGUGAAUUAGUGUGUAAUUAAAUUAGUAGUUGUUGUAGUGUCAGUUCAAAAUGACUCAAUGAGCAUCAUAAAAUAUCUAGAGAAUGUAAGGGUUUUUUGGCACAGAAGACAGGCCAGUGUCUUGCAAAAUUGGAGGACCGCUACAAGAGAGGAAAGCAAACUAAAAUGGAUAAAUCACAUGAAAGCGCUGCAGCCACCGUUUAGUUUUGGGAAAACGACAGUCUAACCAUUCCAAACUGCUAUUUAACUGAUGAAGUAGCAAGCUCUAAGUUACCAUACUUUUUAUUUUCAAUGAAAUCCUACUCUAAACAUGAUUUUCCAAUUCAAGUACGAAUAUUAAUCAGAAAUCAAGAAACCUGAAUAGAGAACCUACCGAGGCAUACAAUAGACAAAUUUGUUGCAGAUAGUUGGGGAAUGUGUUACCUAGUACCCAUCAUCAACCACCUCCCAUUACUCUAGUCAUUUGUUUCAUUCAUUACUCUUACGUUCCCAAUUAUACUUAACAUGUCUUUCCAUAUAUAAAGUACGAGCAUUGCCUUUCCUUUGGUGUUUAAAUUUUUGUUGUCAUUAUUUGUUAUUUCAGUUUUACAUCCAAAUAAGUAAAAAUUUAUAGUGCAUAAAAUCACCACAAACAAACUAAUAGUACUUAUCCAAUUUCAACAACUUCUUGUAACUUCUUUUAUUCUAACUUCUAAUAACCUCCUUUCAAAAAAAAUUCCAAUAACUUGCCUCUCUCUCUCUCUCUCUCUCUGCAAAUUAAACUCUGUAUUAAUUACUUCUAUAUUUACCCAAAAAAAAAAAUCCUACCAUUUUAUUGUGAAAAAGAAACUCUGUUUUCAAUUUGCUCACCCCCUAAAGUGUGCCUCUUCUGCUAGUACAUAAUUAAUUCACUAUUAGUAGACGGGCUGGACUUCGAAGGGGCAAAACCUAUAUUUUUGCUUAACUCAGCCCAAUCUUAUUUACUAAUCGGGCUUGUUGAACAGGCCCAUUUGCAGCUCCCUUAAGAAAUUUAAUAUAUUGUACUAUUUAGAUAUAUUUAGAUUCACGCAUCCUUUGAAUAUACACUAUAUUUUUCUUUCUCCUUUUUCCCCUUUUUUAAGUUCAAGGAAGAUUUUAAAUUGUGUAUAAGGCAAGAAGAAAAGGAAAAGGAGAAGCGUUUAAAAGUCCAAUUAUAGUCAUAUAAUAAUAUGUUCUUAUCGAUGGACUUGGGUUAUGGGAGACUCUUGCAAAAGUAUACGCAAUAGGUUAAUUUACUAAAAUUUUAAAACUGUGUGCCAAGUUUUUUUUAUUAUAUUUGGGAAAAUUGCAUCAUAAACGCGCCAAUUUUUUUUUAGUUAAGAAAGUAUGGUUAAAACAAAGCACCAAAAAUCUAAACCAACCGCCAAAUCUGCCCACGUAAGUGAAAAGUCCCCCGGUAUUUCGUAUAACCAGUCUAAUUUGAACCUUGAUUGAAAUGCUCUGAUUAAAACCCUAAUGCUCUUUAGUUUUCUAAUUCCAUAUUUUUUUUUUGUUUUUUCUCCUAAUUUGUGGGAACAGAUAAAAAAGGCUGGAAAGCAAGCUGAUAUAUCUGAAUUUAAGCAGCAGCUGGAUGCUUUGGGCCUAAAAAUAAUUCAAGUCACUGCAGAUGGUAAUUGUUUCUUCAGGUGUGCGAUAAUUUGAUAAUCUUCUUGGUAUUCUAUUUUUUCCCCUUGUCAGUAUUCCUUUAUUGGUAAUUGUAAUUGUGGUAACUUGAGAAAGUAGUUGCUGUUUGGGCAGAGCAUUAGCGGAUCAAUUGGAAGGCAAUGAGGAAGAGCAUGAGAAAUAUCGGAAUAUGGUAGUCCGUUUUAUAAUGGUAUAGUAUUUUACCGAUGCUUUUAAUUUCUUAAUAUCCAUCGCUUAAAGAAACAAAAUUAAUACUUGAGCGUUGAGUUAGGGCUUGAAAAAUUGCUGGACCUGUUGCUCGAUUGCUUGUUUAGUCUUGUCUUGCUUUUAAAAUUGGACUGAGAACAUUAUGCUUUGACUGCUUUUUUAAACGGUAUCUAAAUGUUUCUCAUCCUAAUCAAGUAGGUCAUUUGGAGAAAUUACACUAAAGAAUUGUUCCAUUUAUGGUUACUUAGGAUACACAAUUUAUGUUUUUGUCAUAUAUUUCGUUCUCAACAGCUCAAACUCAGCUGGUUAUAUUUUUUAUAAGCUAGUAGUUGUAUUAGGCGUUCUCAAUUGCUUUGAAAUUUUCCUUUAAAUGAUUUUAAGCUGAGACUAACUGAAUCUUACGUCGAUAAGGAUGUCAAUAUAAUUUUUUUCAAUUUGUGAGACUCUUUGUUUUUAUAAUGAUGUCAAAUAUCACACUUAUUUUGUGUAUGUUUUGUAGAUUUGGGUUGUUAGUUAGGUAGCAUUCUGUUUAUUUGAUGUUUGAGUAAACCUGCUUUCAUGUUCUUUGGGCAUCUUUAUUGUAGGCUUUUCUUGCUCUGCCUGGUCCACUGUUACAUUCCAUAGGCUCUGAACCUAGAAGUUAUUGUACCUAACUGACUAGUGGAGCUAUAUUUAACAGAAAAAUCGAGAAAUGUUCGAGCCUUUUAUUGAGGAUGAGGUACCAUUUGAUGAAUAUUGUCAGUCAAUGGAAAAGGAUGGGACUUGGGCAGGACAUAUGGAAUUGCAAGCUGCUUCGCUUGUCACUCAUUGUAAUAUAUGCAUUCACCGAGUAAACUCUCUUCUUCUUCCACAGAUUGUUAAAGUUUUUCCAUGACCACAGGCAAUGAAAAAAGUUUACCUACCUUCACUUGAUCUGCAUUUGAGUGGUGCCUUGGGUCAAAGUUGUCACAAGUUAUUUCCUAGUACUUUAUGAGCAGACUUCUGAUUAACCUUCAUGUGUUUUGCAGCAUAUUUCUCCUCGCUGGUACAUACAGAAUUUUGACAAUUGUGAAGCCAAAAUGAUCCAUCUGUAAGCACAUGCAUGAUUUUCAGAUGCUACCUUUGCCCAAUCUAUGCAGGACCUUCAAGACAUUGUUAGCAAAAGUAUUUCUUCGUUUUUUUUUUUUUUUGGUGAGGACUCAAAGGUACUGCUUGUCAAUGUUUCUUGAAUUGGGGAAUAAAUUUAUAGACAAGCCAAUCUCUAUUAUCAAUGCAAACCUGCAAUGUAGAGUGCCUGGGGUUGGAAUUGGUUUUGUUGGGUUUUUAUGCAAAAAGUAUUUUGUUGGUUAUAUAUUCUUCACUUUUCGAAAUAGUCUAUAUCCAGUGCUGAAUAUACUUGGAUUGCGAGGAUGUGCUUUUCUUUACUUUCUGGUUGCACGCAUGAUUGUUGUUCAAGUCUAGAUUAGUAUCUACUCAAUAAGUUUUAUUCAAAGAUUAAUAUAUUUAUUACUAUGCCAAAAAAAUAAUGAUUAAUAUUGACUUGAGUUCCAUCCAAAAAAAAAAAAAAUCUUUUGCCGCCGGACAGUUAAUUUUAACAUAUUAAAUUCAAUCAUGCCAGAAGCAAGUGGCAGGUGACAUGCAUGACAAGUUAAUGAUAAUUAGAUGGAUUCAUAAAGCGCCACAAUCAACAAGUCUUACCAGAGCAAAAAUGUAAGGAGAGAAGAAGUAACUCCUUCGUUACUUAAUCACAUUAUCUGUUAUAAAUUGGUUGGAUGAAAGUUGUUUCUGACAUUAAUCUGUUUAAUUUCUUUGUUGGGGCUUUUACAUUCUGGUAGAAGAAAUUAAGGUCUCUAACUUUUGUGUUUCCUUGCCUUUCUUUCACAUCCUGAUCUCCAUUUGGCUGGCAGCAGUGUGUAAUCCCAACUCUGACCUUGAAGAUUCCAAAAAGCCACUAGUUAGGAUUGUUUUCGUUUUAAUUGUUCCAUUAGGCAUAUCUUCAUUUACUUAUUCCAUGAGAUAACAGAAAACAUGCUUUAUCCAUGUUGAUUGUUGAGAGAUACUUGGUAUCGGCAGCAUAACUUGUGUAUCUGUUUGCAGUUCUUAUCAUGAUGGAGAGCAUUACAACAGUGUCAGAUCAAAGGAUGACACUUGUGCUGGACCAGCAAGGCCAAUUGUAAUCAAGGUUUCUGUCAUUAUCAUCUUUAGUUUCAUUGUUUUUCCUCUGUUAUGAAAAUUCAUAAUUUGAUCCAUAUGACCUGGAUGCCCUUUUUGCUCUGUCUCUUUGACAUCUUUCCUAGAAGUCUGAUAACCUCUAGUAUAUGAAAGGCUGAUGCUGAUCUUUCAGCGACAUCUCAUCACGCAAAAAGUGCCACCACGAAGUCAAUGGGAGACAUUGCUGGUAAUAAUGUUCAGCCAAGGUGUCUUAAAAUGGUCAUGACAGGAAGUGGAUGUGAAGAUGUUGAAAAGGUUAAAAAGGUAAUAAUUGGGAAGAAGUUCUACCUUGUAGCUUUGCGUACUUCAUAAGCAUGCAUUGCCGCUCCUAUCUUGCUUCUACUAAUUACUUUUUAAGUUCAUGGAGCUUCAGGGAAAUCUUUCCCUCCUUCUAAUAUCAGCUAAAACCCAGGUUUUACAAGAAGUAGGUGGCGAUGAUGAUGCUGCAAUUGAGUAUCUAAUAGCUCAACAAAAUUCUGAAGAGAGUUUACAAGAAAAUGUUCAGCUUUAUAUUUCAGAAAACACUGUUCAUGGUAAUGGCCAGUUAGUUCCUUUUUAAUGUAACCCUUCUGAUCAUAUCUUGUAUCCAGCCCAGUAGGCCUCGCAUUUCCGAAAUCCUUUUGUUGUUCUUCUUUUAUUCAGUGUCUGGUCUAAAGCUAUUGCAGCCUUACUUUUAGCAUUAGCUAGUAUUAUUGGGACAGACUUCUGUUUGGCGUAUUGCAUUGAAGUUUUCAAUAUUAUUCAUCCUAAUUUUUACUACUGCACUGCCAAACAGUUCCUCUGUUUGUUGAAUUCACUUGACCUUCCUUCCCUGCCCAAACUUACAAAUACUAAAAGGGAAAAAGGAAGAAGAAAAUGGAUUUAGAAACUUACACAGAUAUCCAUUUUUAACAAGUCAUCUCUCUCCCUUAUACUUUUUCUUUUUCAGUUGGUUUGUCUUAUUAGCUAAGAACCUCCUUUUGUGCUGCACUAUUACAUUUUCACAUGGCCAGGUGAGCAUGACAGUGAAAUACUUGAGCAGCAAAGCAUGCAAAAUGAAAAAAAGACAGGAAAUACACAAAUGACUCAGAUUGAGAAUAGCUUAUCGUUGGAUGACAAGGUUUCAUUACUUUUUGGUUAUAAGAAUUGGGAUUCUUAAUGCUCUCCCUUCUCCUUCUUAUGCUAUAUUUGAAGGGUACAUUUCUUUCCAUUGAUAUUUUUGUAGAAAAUUCCAAGAAACAAGGCAUGCCCUUGUGGUUCAAAAAAGAAAUACAAGUCUUGCUGUGGAUCAGUUGCUGGAAAAUCUUCUGCUAGAUUUUCGGGGUAUGCUUCCUGAAUACCGCUUAAUUAGUUUUUCUGGAUUUUCCUACAAAAUCAAAAUUUUGGGUACUUAAAAGCCAAAAGCCAUAAAUUGGUUCGUGUUAUGAGUUUGGUCAAAGUUGCUUCUUCGAGUUCUAGGAUACUAUGGAGUGCAAUGGCUGCCAUUCUUCCUUUGGAAGUAAAUCAUCAGGCAACUUGGCUCUAGAGGGGAAUCUUGUUACAAUCUAGUUUGGAUGGUUUAUUGCAACAUUAUCAUUACGGAACACUUCAGCAGUCCUGCAAUGUACCUAUUCUGUUUCAGCUGGACUACGUGCACCAUGUUCGUUCUGUUGCAUGCCAUCUUUCAUACUUGAACUUUGACCUUUGGAUGAGUAUUCAUCCCACAACUCUCCAAAAAUUAAUGGAUUUAUGUAUGGUGGUACUAUGUUUGCAGGUAAAUGCGUCAUAUUUGAGAUUGAUAUAUAUGGAAUUCAUUUCAUAGAAGUAAUCGGUAUUUAAAGUUGAAAUAGAAGUCAGUUUAUUAGAGCAAGGCAGAAGGUUUAGUAGAAGUGGAAGUGCAUAUGUGAAAUUUUAGUCUGCCCAGAAAUACACAAGGGAAGAUGCAAGGGGUCUAUAAACUUAAAUCAGGAUGAUUUGAAAACUCAGGCUUAAUCUUUCGCAGGAAUGCUAGACUUGUUGAUUAAAGCAUGUUUAGGCUAGUGAAGAAUGACAUUGGUUUCUUCUGUGAUAUUCAUAUACUUUAAGAACUAAAGAGAAGAUUUUGAAGGACAGCCAUUUCAUUGUGGAGAACACAGCUGGCCAUUGCUUAACUGUUGGGUAUAUAAAGCUUAAUGGACGAAGAGUAUUCAUGAACUCAUAAGUAUAAAAUUGAGCUGAGGACGUGCAACCGGGUGUAAAUAUAUCUAAACUCAGAUGUCAUCCGAAACAUAAUUACAGUAUUUCAAAAUCCAAGGAAAUGAGGAGUGAAAUAUAUUCUUUCCAGGAACUCUUCUUCACCCCUCUCCAUGCAGCAUAAACCUGCCUUUCCUUUCCUAAUGCUGAUCACAUAUUAUCUUUUCAGAAAACAAUCAGUUGAUGAUGGCAAUGAUAGAAAAGACAAAAAGCAACGCAAGAAAGCACCAAAAAAUGUUUUGAAUCAUGAUCGAUCUGAAGGAGGGCUGCCUGAUAUGGGUGCACUUUGCAUAUGAGCUUCUUUUUUCAGGUAUUUUGCCACUGCAUUAUUUCUGUAUGAUGUAAUAGUGUCCGGUAACCUGUGUUGUAUAAUUCAAAAUAUAUUUUGAAUCAUGAUCAAUCUGAAGGAGGGCUACCUGAUACGCGUGCACUUUGCAUAUGAGUUUCUUUUUCAGGUAUUUUGCCACUGCACUAUUUCUGUAUGAUUUAAUAGUGUCCAGUAACCUGUGUUGAAUAAUUCGAAGCGUUAGAGCUAAGCAUGCUGCUCAUGAAAAGAGUCCGUGUGCAUCCAGUUCCAAAUUUUUUGGAGUGUUGAUAUUUCUGAAUGUUAUUGAAGGAUGAUAAUUCCUGAGAGUAUCAUUUGUUCUAUCCAAGGUAUUCCAGCUGCCAGUUUAUUAGAUAUUGCCGACCUUAAAGUUCCAUACAAUCAUUGUAAGAACUCACAUGGGAAUUUGAAAUUUUGUUGAUUUUGGCUGGAUCAGUUUCAGAGGCAGCUUGUAAAAUAUUGCCAUAUGGCCGCGUUCUUUUAAUACCUUCAGCCGUCCCUCGUUUUUAAGCCUUAAACGGUCUGCUAUUGAAAUAACAAAUUUGCUGAUUUUAUUUACUUUUUCGUAUCCAGGUUCAUGAUGCGCUAAUUAAUUGGAAUAACUUGUAAUGCUUUGGGACCUCAGGACCAGUGAUAAUAAAGACUGAAUCUGGAUCACAAGUACCUUCGCUGGACAACAACGUAAGAAAGAGAUUGCUUAGCUGAUAGCGAGAUGUCUAUAGCAUUCCAGCCUUCAGAGGAAAAUGAAUCUAUCCCGCCAUUUGGCCCAAAUUCUGUUUUAUCCUGAUCUAGCCUUCUUCCCAAUGCCAAUAUCGCAUGAUUUUUUAUUUUUAUUUUUUUUGUGGAUUAUCUCACCUGGUAGAUUUCUUAUAUUCGUGAAACGACCUUCCCUCAUCGUUUCAUUUUCCAGGGGUAACAGAUGGUGUUGAAAUCUGAUGCACGGAGUUGAGGUGUACACUUCCUUUUGAGAAAUUUAUUAAACGCUUCUCUUUGCCCAUCUAGAUGGAUUUUAGCAAUUUAGUAGGGAAGAUUACGUGUUGGUUGGUUAAAUUGCUCAAAACCAUCCUUAUAAUGAAUAAUGCCUUUUACAUUGCCCAAAUUCUUUUUCAAAAAACAUUUCUUAGGAAAUUAUUGCGCCCAUAUUAUUAGUUAAGGGAUAGCUUUUGUAGAAAUGGAAAAGGAUAGGAAAAAAGAAGUCAGAACAAGGAAGACUAAAAUUAAAAUUCUUUUUAUACGACAAAAAAAAAAACUCUUGCUAUUAAAAUGGCAAUGACAAAGGGAUUCCCUAAUUAAGAAAGUCUUGGAGUUAAUUUCCGCUACUGGAGUCAAUCGCAGAGAUUUCCGCGGAAGAGAGGAGAAUUGCAAAUUGACAGAUUUAAGAGCCAAAAGAAAGAGAGCGAAAAAUGUCGGGAUUGGAAGACCAAAACGUGCGCAAUUCUAGAAAACCACGUUGUUGUCUGCUCUUAUUUAUGCGGGGUUGAAUAGGUAGCUGACGUUUUCAGUCCAGUGUCGAACUCCAGGGGCAGUAGGCACAAAACAUUGAAGAUUCCUCCAGGCUUUGUCGCAAUCAUUAGACAAUAAAGCAUCGUCCGGUUUCCUUAACUGGAAAUUCGCGGUCAUCUCUGGUUGUUGAAAACUGUUAACAUAUUUGCAAAAGCAGCAAAGACCCAAAGAGAUUAAGAAAGGUAACGAAGCAGUAUACAUUAAUGGAAAUGUUAGUGGACAAGUUGGUUUUUAGGAAUGUGAUAAAUCAUCAGAGAUCUACACCUACCGGAAUGUGUUUUUUUCCUUUUUUUUUUUUUGUGGGCUUGGGGUUUUUUUUUGGGGGGGGGGGGGGGGGGGGUGGGGUUUGCCAUUAUGAGCAUGGAGGUGGAGCAGGUGGUGGAGGCCGAGCAAAAGAAAGUCAUGAAGACGGGGCGUAGUAUCAAUAGUUGUAUAUGAGAAGGCUAAAACAACCCUAAAAACUCUUGAAAUAAUUAUAUGAUUUUUCUUCUCUUAAACUUCUUCAUUAGCCAUUUAAUCCUUGCCAAAGUGAUAGAUAUUGGUUGAAAGAUAUAUGUUCUAAUCUUUUCUUUGACCUUUUCAUUUUUUUCCUUAGAGCGUACCAGGAGAGGGAAAAAGGGUAAACCCCAUAACCCAAAAAAAAAAUAAAAAAUAAAAAAUAGAGAAUAAGCAAGAGAAAUGGGAAUAAUAAAAAGAAAAGGCCAAUAUAUUAGGGGCAUUUUUCUCAAUAAAGAUUCGCAUUGCACUCAAAAGAAGAUUGUGACAAUGUAUCCCAAUUCAAAUGGUAAGAUAGUUCACCUGGAAUUGCAUGACAAGAGUGAGGAAGACCUUCUUGAUUAAGAAAAUCAGCCCUUCACUUCACGGCUAGAAAAGUGAAAGAUGUAGUAUUUGGUACUGUUAACUAUGAAAGGCGGUUUGUUUGGAUUGCCCUUUAUUUCCCAAAAUAUAUUUGUUUACAUCAUCAUUACAGUUUCCAAUACACCUUUUUACCUUCCCAAUUACCUUUUCAUCUCACAUACAUCACAUCACAAAAAGUGCUACAGUAAAAAUAUCUCAAAUAACUUACAAUCCAAACAAAGUCGAUUUUUCCUUUUUUUUGGGGGGUGCGCCUUUGUUGCCUUAUUGUACGUAACAAAUUUAUUAGCAAAAAAGAAAAGAAAAUACAUGAGUGUCAUUCCUUUUACAUAUAUUAGUCAAUAAGGGAAACCUAUUUUACAAUUGUCAUUAAGUUUCUAUUUGCUACAUAAAUUCAAAAAAAAAAAAAAAAAAAGAACUGCUCCACAUAUUACUGAAGCUUGAAUCUACAACCUCUCCGCUUGCCUCGACAACCUCAUCUUUGCGAAACAUUUGAUCAAGUGUAACACAUGCUACGUAAACCACUAAGUUGAUAAUGCAGCUAUGCAUAUUUGUUUUUUUUUUCUUCCCUAAAGAAAGGAAGAUGUAGAAUUUAAAAAAUUAAAUUUCUGGAGUUUUAAUCUUAAACACUAGACUGAAACUUUUUCAACAAUAAUCAUGUUAUAAAUUAUUGUGGGAAAAAAAAAAACCCCCCAUGAAAUGGGGACCAUGUAUGGGGGCAUAUAUGAUAAUGAAGGUGAAGGAAAUCGACAGAGAAGGAAGGAGGCGAGGGUUUACCUAACGGGGACAGUAUGGAUCUUAUCGUCAGCUGCCUUUCUCGUUUCUACCAUCUAACAUUAACACCACGACCACGCAAAGGGAAGGAAUGGUUAGAAUGAUAAGCAUCGUCGUGGCCACUCAAAAACCCCAUAGAUAUAAUUUUAUAUACAUCAAUUGUCGUCAAUCUUUCCAAACAUGGAAAGUCCAGGAAACAAACGUCGGAUGGGAACGAAUACUAGCUACGACAAAACAAGAAUACCUCCCCAGUCCUUUCCCACCUCCCAUCUUUUUCCUUGAUUAUUUUCCCCAUUUAUAUUCGCUCUCAUGACUCAUCUCAUCUGUCCUCCAUUUUCUAAAAGUUAAGCUUUUCAGUCACAAUCAAGCUUAUGAGCACAUCCAUCCUUCUCUCUCCCAAAAAAAGAAAGAAAGAAACAAACGUAAAUAAAUAAAUAAACCACAUCUAUCCUCAUCGCCUCGAUUUGUAGCUCUCCACACAGUUAGCAUUAUCAAACAACCAUUACUUGAGCAGAGCCACCCUUUCAUUCUCUUUUGUCUUCCAGUAAUAAUUAUAUGGCACUGCUGUUGAUUAAAAUCGCAGCACUACGUGAAUACGAAGAACAAACGUGCCAUGUAUAGGCCGUAACAGCCUUUGCCAGCUCAACGGAUUGCUACAUUUCAAAGUAAAAUUUUACGUUGUACACGUUUCUAAAUCACAUUUUAAUCUUAUAUAUAUAUAUAUAUAUAUAUAUAUAUAUAUAUACAUAUUAAAAUUCUUAGAAACAGCCAUCUAAACAGGACUUUGAAGUUUGUUGUUACGCGAGGCUUGUACCUUUUUUAACUGUUUAAGAAUUAAUACUACGUAUACAAUGUAAUAUUGGUCCGAAUUCAGAAAUCCUGGGCUCAUUCAUGAUUCACCUCUAGCUCUUUUAAGUUUUAACUGGUAUCGGUUAGCAGCACCAAUACGUGAGUUUCAAGUUUCUUGUCUCCUCGUCCUCGGGAAUCUUGAUUCAUUCAUUCAGAGGUUUCGAGUUCGAGUUUAGCUUUGAAAAGUGAUAGCACUAUUCAGUGUAAUUGCAAAUUUAGAAAAGGUCACGUUUUAAUUACUUGAGCAAUAGACUCGAUAGCGUGAGAGUUUUGAGUUUUCGAACUUUGCACUAAAUAAAUACUACCAGAAACUCACCCCCGUCUUAGAAUAGACGCCAUCUCUCGGGACCCUUGAGAUGCUAUGUGAAUGUGAUUUCUGUAAAUCAAAAGAUGUACUUACUAGUAGUAAUGAAAAUCAACACAAAGAACGAAACUAGUAGUACUUUUUUUACACGUGUCGGAUAAGCUGCAGGCUGAGAAAGACAGCGAGUACGUAGAUGUAAAUGUAAUCAGGUUUCGGGCCGGGUUAACCUGUUCAUUUUCCGUCUGUGUCGAUCUCCAUGUUCAAUAGUAUGAAGAUGAGCAGAAACUAGCUAGCUUAGCUUUGUAUAUAAUUGGAUUAGGGACAUUUUUAUUAAACGAAUAUUUACUGCACAAGUGCUUGAAGACGCGCGCACUGCUUUCCCGCUGCACCAGAAGAAUCGUUCCAUUAUAUACUUAUUCUGAUUCUCAGCACUUCGUCGGCUAAACCGACAGAACAGCAAGCUUUUCCCGGUGAAUCGAAACGUGGACUGUGUCUUUAAAGUUUCAACCUAGCGGUAAAGGGAAAUGGCCAAGAAUCUACGACCUCUCGAAUUUUGUCGAGAGGGAAAGUCCAAGGUUUAACCAUGUUCUUGCUAAGGAUGAGGUUAAAAAGUAUCCUAUUCCUGCACAUGCAUAUGCUAUUCCAACUUUCUUUUGCUAUGUUAAAAAGAGUGGUAAUUUGCACCACCAGAGACAAACAUUAUUGCGAAAGCUUACUGUAUGUCACAUCGUACAUGCAUAUAUAUAUAUAUAUAUAAUAUUGUAAUUGUGUGUGGUUAUUUCUUUCGAAAUUUGCUUUCUUAAUCCUACGAGACCUGACAAAUUUUCUAAGCCGUGCAUUAGUUGCAUUCUUACGAAAGUCUCAACAGCCUUUUUAACUCAUUCCUACGACGUAAUAAUCCUGCAGCACUACCAAAUUUACUCCCAACAAAUUAAUCGUGCGCACACUAAGUCAAUCCUCCCCCCUGUGUGUCCUCCACUAAAUACAAGGGACUCGUGUUGUUCCUCAAUCUAUUUAUAGAUUAUUAAUUAUGUAGGCACUUGAAAAGGGUUGGAUUGGAUGAAAAAAAAAAAAAAAAAGAAAGAACUAUAACUAAAUAAGACCGUCGUCCCGAGUUCAAGCCAUCUCACUUACCUAAAACAAAUAAACUCAAUAAUAUAAAUAAAUAUACAUAUGUCGGCAUCUAAGUUUUGAAAAAAUGAAAACACGGAACAAAUAGGCAGUUGGCACGGGUGGUGGAGGCCUAUGCUUUGUUCCUUCAUCUAGCUGUAAGCUUGGGCCGGAUGGACGGGUGGAGUGCUGUGGAUAGAAAAGAAAAGCCUAGGGACCAGCAGAAAGUGGCAACUGGUAGCUUUUAAACUCUGUGACGUCCGGAGCUGGGAGACAUGACAAAUUGCGUCGUAGUAGCCGGUGUGGCGAGUUGAGUGGGGAAUUGGGGACGGCAGGCGCAGUAAACACGAGAAUAGACCCAAUCACAGGUUACCACAAAAAAGCAUGCAACAUCACGGUGUUGUAUGCACUUUGAAUGCGUUUCGGGCCAAAUAACAAGUAUCUGUAGUAAGCGAAUCGUUUUCUUUUUUUGAGAGUGCAAAAUUAUUCCUCCGGUUAUGGUCCUCUACCAAACUUAAAACUAAGACGUGUCCUAGGACAAAUAUAUAAUUCUUUUCAUCCAUGGCCACGUUCCAGAAUAUUUUCACCCACAAAAUCAACCCUCCGUCUAAAAAAAUUUCAAUCCUGCUAUCUCAGCCGUCUAAACAAAAUUUCAAUCCUGCCAGAAGAAGAUGGGAAGAUACUCUAAAUUAGGGAUGUUAAUUAUGAUUAAAUCUGCACAUGACAGUUCCCUUCCAUUCUUUAAUUCUUCGAAACUGUUUCUUCUGAUAGUGCAAUUGAGAACAAAUGAAAACAUACAAAGGACCACCUUCGGUGAAUAGGGACUUGUCUUACACUUAUGCAUAUGCUCUGCUCCCAUGAUUCCAUUGAAAUGGUUGGUUCUUUAUCAAAAGAAAAAAAAAAUUUGAAAAUGAGAUUAUAUUCAGCUGCCAUGGCAUUGUUACACUGGAAACAGUUUUCAACCGUUAAAAAAGAACUUCUAAAUUGGGAAACAGCCAUCUUAAAUGUGCGCAAAGAAAUCUAGACAACGCAUGCCACCUUGCCUUAUUUGAUUGAUUCCUUCGCUUUCAUACAUCUGUCUUUCUUUAUUGUUUUCCACCAACUCCAAACCGGGCCUCCACAUGUGACUUGUGACCCAUACAAUGAUGCAAUCGCGAAUUAAACAAAACGAUGACCAUGGAAAUUAAUCGCGGGAUGUUUCGUUAAGAAUCUAAGGAAGGAAGCUGGUCCUGAGCCUCACCGACCCUGUUGCAUACAAUCUCGAAAACUCUCUGCAGUGCGAGUCUGCUGUCUUCAUACGUUGGCCUAUAGUAAUAGCAGCAUUAAUUGUUGUGUUCCCAGACACGAGCCACGGUUUUGAGUUUCUUGGACUACUUAACCUUUUAAGGCGCGCGGUAUAUACUUGGGGAAUACACAGAUUUUGGACCGCCCGGGAUGAUAAAGCUUUUCUUCUUCUUUCUCUUGAUUGUUUCAAGAGGAGAUGGAGGAAGAGGAAGAAGAGGUUAAUGCAAGUUAGAUACAGUGAAUGAGCCUUUUAUGUUUUUAACCCCGAGCUUGCUGGGAUUUAAUUUCAGUUAUCGGCCAACAAAUACGUACAGACAGGGAUCAUGGCACGGGUCAUGAAACUAUGACGGUCCAUAAACAAGCUGCGUUGCAAAAUAUUUGAAGAGGAUGCGGUAUCCAACUGUUUCUUUUAGGACUAAUUCCAUUUUGCACCUUAGAACUUGUACCACUUUUCGCUUUGCAUUCUAAAUUUCAAUUUUGAACACUUUGUACCCUAAAUAUCACGUGAUUAAGGGCUGUGUAAAUUGAUUUGAUGACAGUGUACAAUUUUGUUUUGGUUGCGGUCCCUCAGCUCCUUUUGACACUUUCAAUAUAUCGUUCUUGAUUUGUAUAUUUUAAAUCAUUAAUGUUGUUAGAAAAAUUAACAAAACAAAAGGAUAGUGUAAAUUAAUGAUAAUGUAUUAUUUCUUCUAAUUGUAAUACAUUGACUCCUUUGAUAUGAAUGGCAACGCCGAUGGGGUGCCUGUGGGAGGAGUCAAUUUUUAUAAUUUGUAUAAUCAAAAUGAUUAUUUGGUUAUUUUUAGUUUACGUCAAUUUUUUUUUUUACAUGUUGUAAGUUGGUUAAACAAAUAUGAUGAUUAUGAGUUUAGAUUUGUUAUUAAAAAUAGAGAAAUGAAUUAAAAGUGAUUUUUAUCCUUGAUUUCACAUUAGAUAUUUAGUUAAGAAUCUAAAAAAGUGAUUUAUAAUGUUGUUGUUGUUGUUAUAUAUAUAUAUAUAAAACAAUAAUGUCAAAACAAAAAAAUAUAAUUACACAACCUUAGGGCACUCCAAGGGGUUAUGGAGCGGGGCAGGGGCAGAAAAAACGGAGGAUGAGGCGAGAGUGGAGAGAGAUUUUAGAGCACAGGGCGGAGAAGAGGGGAGGGAUCCCUCGCUUUACUCCUGACCCCAUUGUUAUCCCUAUCCUAUGAUCACUUUUUAACACAUUAUCAUUGAUUUGUAUGAUCCUUUACGCCGUUAAUUUUAUCAACACGGUAAUUGAUUAGAUUUAAAUUGAAAAAUUUUGAGAGUUUAGAAUGUAAAGUGUCGAAAAUUAACAGUUUAAGAUGUGAAGCAUCCAAAAUUGCAGUUUAUGGCAUAAAGUGAUACAAGUUUGAUGGUAUAAAAUAGAACUAGUCCCUUCUUCGGUGAUACGGCCGUUUUAUUUUUAUUUGUACGAUAGAAAUGAAAUUUUAAGUACGGGGUGUGUACGUGGAAGGGGAGUACCCUAUAAUAUAGUGCCAGUCCCGUGUACCUAACAUUUGGAAGGAAGCCUUUGCCCUUUGUCUCGGCGGUGGACACCUUAUUGGUUUUGUGCGCUCAAAAAGCAAUGGACAAAAGCAGAUUCAUACAACAGAAUGGUUUAUAUAUAUAUAUAUAUAAUAAAAAAUAAAAAACUUCAAACCAAAACAAAACAAAA
rnacentral:lncRNA from 1 species